AUUUUGGAUUGCUUUCUCUUAAAAUGCAAAUAUCCUUGAGAGGUAUGCCAUAUGAACUCCUUUAUUUUUGACCGUGGAAGACUUUACCAAACAGAACUUUUUACUCCAAAAGGACAUAAUGAAAAUUCCAGGAUUGUUCUGGUGUCACAAAAUGGCCAGGAAGGGCCUAUAAAAUGGAACAUCUUCCUUCUGAACAGCUACUCACUUGGAUGGUUCCUUUCUCGGUUUUCAACAUAAAUUCAUAAGCCACCACUUUUCCACAUCCCAACUAAACUCUAACUUUUAGAAAUAGGAAAAGAUUGUGAAGAGAUAGCCUGAUGAGCAGGAACACAGAGGACAUACAUAGAUAGGGCCAUUAAAUGAAGUUAUUCACUGUGUUUC
rnacentral:lncRNA from 10 species